rnacentral:rRNA from 1 species
CAGCCGCCGCGGUAAUACGUAGGUGGCAAGCGCUGUCCGGAAUUAUUGGGCGUAAAGGGCUCGCAGGCGGUUUCUUAAGUCUGAUGUGAAAGCCCCCGGCUCAACCGGGGAGGGUCGUUGGAAACUGGGAAACUUGAGUGCAGAAGAGGAGAGUGGAAUUCCACGUGUAGCGGUGAAAUGCGUAGAGGUGUGGAGGAACACCAGUGGCGAAGGCGACUCUCUGGUCUGUAACUGACGCUGAGGAGCGAAAGCGUGGGGAGCGAACAGGAUUAGAUACCCGGGUAGUCCCUGUCUCUUAUAC